rnacentral:rRNA from 1 species
UACGUAGGGUCCGAGCGUUGUCCGGAAUUAUUGGGCGUAAAGAGCUCGUAGGCGGCCGAUCGCGUCGGAUGUGAAAGCUCGGGGCUCAACCCUGAGAGGCCAUUCGAUACGGAUCGGCUAGAGGUAGGUAGGGGAAAGUGGAAUUCCUGGUGUAGCGGUGAAAUGCGCAGAUAUCAGGAGGAACACCGGUGGCGAAGGCGGCUUUCUGGGCCUUACCUGACGCUGAGGAGCGAAAGCUGGGGGAGCAAACAGG